GGUAUGCUUUGGUGGACACACCAACCAUCAGGUUUUCAAAAAUUACGGUUCGGUCAUGAAUGUUUGCUGUUAUGCACAUUUCAGCCACAACGGAGGGUAAAGGAAAAAAACCGAACGUGUAUGCAGUGCACUUGCAGUUGAGACGAGUAGGCGGUAAGUGAGGAAGGAGUGGGUGACUGAACAAGAUUUUCAAAAACAUCUGACAACGCAGUGUAUUACU
rnacentral:lncRNA from 1 species